rnacentral:rRNA from 1 species
CCCUUAGAGUUUGAUCCUGGCUCAGGACGAACGCUGGCGGCGUGCUUAACACAUGCAAGUCGAGCGGAAAGGCCCUUUCGGGGGUACUCGAGCGGCGAACGGGUGAGUAACACGUGAGUAAUCUGCCCUUGGCUUCGGGAUAGCCACCGGAAACGGUGAUUAAUACCGGAUACGACACAUCACUGCAUGGUGCGUGUGUGGAAAGUUUUUUCGGCCAGGGAUGUGCUCGCGGCCUAUCAGCUUGUUGGUGGGGUAAUGGCCUACCAAGGCUUCGACGGGUAGCCGGCCUGAGAGGGUGACCGGCCACACUGGGACUGAGACACGGCCCAGACUCCUACGGGAGGCAGCAGUGGGGAAUAUUGGACAAUGGGCGGAAGCCUGAUCCAGCAACGCCGCGUGAGGGAUGACGGCCUUCGGGUUGUAAACCUCUUUCAGCACAGACGAAGCGCAAGUGACGGUAUGUGCAGAAGAAGGACCGGCCAACUACGUGCCAGCAGCCGCGGUAAUACGUAGGGUCCGAGCGUUGUCCGGAAUUAUUGGGCGUAAAGGGCUCGUAGGCGGUUUGUCGCGUCGGGAGUGAAAACACCGGGCUUAACUCGGUGCUUGCUUUCGAUACGGGCAGACUAGAGGUAUUCAGGGGAGAACGGAAUUCCUGGUGUAGCGGUGAAAUGCGCAGAUAUCAGGAGGAACACCGGUGGCGAAGGCGGUUCUCUGGGAAUAUCCUGACGCUGAGGAGCGAAAGUGUGGGGGAGCGAACAGGAUU